rnacentral:rRNA from 1 species
AGAUUGAACGCUGGCGGCAGGCCUAACACAUGCAAGUCGAGCGGUAGAGAGGUGCUUGCACCUCUUGAGAGCGGCGGACGGGUGAGUAAUGCCUAGGAAUCUGCCUAGUGGUGGGGGAUAACGUUCGGAAACGGACGCUAAUACCGCAUACGUCCUACGGGAGAAAGCGGGGGACCUUCGGGCCUCGCGCCAUUAGAUGAGCCUAGGUCGGAUUAGCUAGUUGGUGAGGUAAUGGCUCACCAAGGCGACGAUCCGUAACUGGUCUGAGAGGAUGAUCAGUCACACUGGAACUGAGACACGGUCCAGACUCCUACGGGAGGCAGCAGUGGGGAAUAUUGGACAAUGGGCGAAAGCCUGAUCCAGCCAUGCCGCGUGUGUGAAGAAGGUCUUCGGAUUGUAAAGCACUUAAGUUGGAGAAGGUUGUAACUUAAUACGUUGCAACUUUGACGUUACGACAGAAUAAGCACGGCUAACUCGCGCAGCAGCCGACG